CACUUGGUAGUUUAUAAAAGGAUAAGGGAUUGCAAUUCUUGAGGAGCUGGGUAGGCUAUGGUGU
rnacentral:tRNA from 1 species